GACGUAGGAUGCGAGCGUUGUCCGGAUUUAUUGGGCGUAAAGAGCUCGUAGGCGGUCUGUCGCGUCUGCUGUGAAAACCUGGGGCUUAACCCCGGGCCUGCAGUGGAUACGGGCAGACUAGAGGUAGGUAGGGGAGAAUGGAAUUCCCGGUGUAGCGGUGAAAUGCGCAGAUAUCGGGAGGAACACCGGUGGCGAAGGCGGUUCUCUGGGCCUUACCUGACGCUGAGGAGCGAAAGCGUGGGGAGCGAACAGG
rnacentral:rRNA from 1 species